UGGGGAAUUUUCCGCAAUGGGCGAAAGCCUGACGGAGCAAUACCGCGUGAGGGAGGAAGGCUUUUGGGUUGUAAACCUCUUUUGUUAAGGAAGAAGCAAGUGACGGUACUUAACGAAUCAGCAUCGGCUAACUCCGUGCCAGCAGCCGCGGUAAUACGGAGGAUGCAAGCGUUAUCCGGAAUGAUUGGGCGUAAAGCGUCUGCAGGUGGCUAUGCAAGUCUGCUGUUAAAGAGUGGAGCUCAACUCCAUAGGGGCAGUGGAAACUGCGUAACUAGAGUACGUUCGGGGUAGAGGGAAUUCCUGGUGUAGCGGUGAAAUACGUAGAUAUCAGGAAGAACACCGGUGGCGAAAGCGCUCUACUAGGCCGUAACUGACACUGAGAGACGAAAGCUAAGGGAGCGAAUGGGAUUAGAUACCCCCGUAGUCC
rnacentral:rRNA from 1 species